rnacentral:misc_RNA from 1 species
CGGCCGUCGCUAACGCUUCCACGCGUACCACGUGCUAUGAGCUUCGACGGCAGUCUUCAAGCACCCAGGUCGGCCACCGUUUCCUUCGACAGACACGUGGAACUGUUCCUUCGUAACAUCUUCCAAGCAACCAGUGCUGCUAACGCAUGGGACAUGACGAGCAUAGUCCUUCACAAUUCAGUCUUCGGUGAAGUCCUCCACCUUGUCAGAGGCGCUGUUCAUGGCUUCCAAGUGCCUCUCUACAACUCUCCCUGCGCAAUGUAUCUUCUCACCAUGGUUCGUGGUCUCGGCCGUCCGUAACGCCCGUAUCACGCGGCGGCUCGUUGCCACGAACUUCGACAGCCCCCUUCGAGCGCCAAGAAUUCAUCUUCUCUUCGCGGACUACGCCUGUCAUGUUCGUGGUCUCUGUCUUCCGUGAUGCCGGGACACCGUGGAGCGAUACGUCGCUGGAACCUUCGGCAUCUUUAAAACCCACAGGUGGGCCAAAUUUUGGCUACAGCUUGUCAGGGGGCACGCCAAGCUUUUAUCUCAAGAGACUAAUUGUAAAGUUGUGUCGGCUUUCUCCCACGUGUUGCGUUUAUAACCAGCGACACUCGCAGUAAUAGCCUAGGUUAAUUCUAGCGACAAGUUUCAACGCUGGGUAAUGGGGUAGUGGGUUACGGCGGCCCCAGCGCGUCGAGUCUUCUCCCUGGCGAAAACGAGAGAGUGGAACUCGAGCAUAGCUUCAGGACUAGCUGACUGGAUAGGCAGGCAGGUAGCUGUCAGCGUUAGCACUCUCUUUGUU